UAUAUUCUUGAUUGGUCCAGAAAUCAGGAUGAUUAUAGUGACUCUUAUCCUGUGUCUACAGCAGAAUCUUGGGACCAAGGACUGUCAGCUGGAAUUUGGUAUUCCAAUACUGGAUCUCCACAAACUUAUGUUUGUAAACUUGCUGCUGCCAUGGGAACAGUGCUGAUUAUGAACUCAUUACGGAGAUUGGGCUCGGAACUCCACAGAGUAAAACUCCACACACUCUCCCGACUUGACACCAGAGGCUGGUAGCGAAAGACAGAAAUGGAACCAUGUGGAACAUGUGUAGAAUGGCACUGGGCAAGGGCACUCUUCUCUAGAGGCAGAUGAGCCCUUUCCAGUUGAACAUCUUGGCCUGUCCAGCUCUCCACUAUCCAUGGAUUCACUGACCAGAAAAACUUGCCUGCUUUCUGUAACUACUUCUGAACUUCAAAGAGCAAGAACCAGAAGGCCGCUUUCUGCCUUCCCCCACCCUUCACACAGGCAGCAGUUCUGCUCACUGGAGACAGGUCUUAUUAGCCCAGGGGUGAAGCCAGUAAAAUCUGCAAGCGAAAGUCAGCUCGGCCAUGAAUAUUUACCUCUGGUCAGUCUCCCGCCUCUACAGGACUAGAAACACUCUCCUUGGUCCUGUCGCUUCCCUAAAACUCAUCAUUCCUGGACAAAGCAUUUUAAACUGCUGUCUCAGGCUAUCAGGUUCCCUGGGAGGUAUGUCCUGCGUGUGAUAAUAAACAAACUUGCAUGUUGCUCUC